rnacentral:rRNA from 1 species
GAUGAACGCUGGCGGCGUGCCUAAUACAUGCAAGUCGAGCGAACGGACGAGAAGCUUGCUUCUCUGAUGUUAGCGGCGGAAGGGGGAGUAACACGUGGAUAACCUACCUAUAAGACUGGGAUAACUUCGGGAAACCGGAGCUAAUACCGGAUAAUAUUUUGAACCGCAUGGUUCAAAAGUGAAAGACGGUCUUGCUGUCACUUAUAGAUGGAUCCGCGCUGCAUUAGCUAGUUGGUAAGGUAACGGCUUACCAAGGCAACGAUGCAUAGCCGACCUGAGAGGGUGAUCGGCCACACUGGAACUGAGACACGUUCCAGACUCCUACGGGAGGCAGCAGUAGGGAAUCUUCCGCAAUGGGCGAAAGCCUGACGGAGCAACGCCGCGUGAGUGAUGAAGGUCUUCGGAUCGUAAAACUCUGUUAUUAGGGAAGAACAUAUGUGUAAGUAACUGUGCACAUCUUGACGGUACCUAAUCAGAAAGCCACGGCUAACUACGUG